rnacentral:tRNA from 2 species
GGGAGUGCGCCAACGUUGGAGAGUUGGGCUUGACUGUAAAUCAAGUGCCUAUGGCUUAGAAGGUUCGAAUCCUUCCACUCCCA